rnacentral:rRNA from 1 species
AUUGAACGCUGGCGGCAUGCCUUACACAUGCAAGUCGAACGGUAACGGGCCUUCGGGUGCCGACGAGUGGCGAACGGGUGAGUAAUGUAUCGGAACGUACCUUUCAGUGGGGGAUAACGUAGCGAAAGUUACGCUAAUACCGUAUUUUCUGUGAGCAGGAAAGCAGGGGCUCGCAAGACCUUGCGCUGAUUGAGCGGCCGAUAUCAGAUUAGCUAGUUGGUGAGGUAAAGGCUCACCAAGGCGACGAUCUGUAGCGGGUCUGAGAGGAUGAUCCGCCACACUGGAACUGAGACACGGUCCAGACUCCUACGGGAGGCAGCAGUGGGGAAUUUUGGACAAUGGGGGCAACCCUGAUCCAGCCAUGCCGCGUGAGUGAAGAAGGCCUUCGGGUUGUAAAGCUCUUUCGGCCGGGAAGAAAUCGUAUCAGCUAAUACCUGGUGCGUAUGACGGUACCUGCAUAAGAAGCACCGGCUAACUACGUGCCAGCAGCCGCCGUAAGAC